rnacentral:rRNA from 1 species
AUGUCGUCUCCUUCGACGUCUUUCAUAGGCAGUGGUGGUCGCUCUUUAGUAGCGCCUCUCGCAACCUCCGCACAUGGUGAUUGUUGCUCUACACCCUCUGCCCUCGCGACUUUCACCGUUAGUGUUGGUGCAUAUUGCUCCAUCAGCCGCGCCUCACACACGCGCCUUCUCUUGGCACUUGGUGCUUGUCUGCAUGCGCCCUCGUCUCCUUCAUCGGCUUCUGCAGAUGAUUCUGGUCAUGCUACACCAUCUUCUGUAGGGGCUUCCAUAGGUGGUGGUGGUUGCUCCUCUCGUGGUGCUGCUACAUCCACUACUUCAUCUGUGUCCUUCAUUGAGCAGGAGAGUGCGCAACUUCGCGACCCGCUUCUCCCUCGGACUCCUUUGCCGGGUGCAUCUACGUCCACCUCUUCAGUUGAGCCUCUGACUAAGCAGGAGAUUAUGCGACUUCGAUGCCUACGAGGUACGACUUUUGGUUCUAAAUCAACAACUUUUGCUACUGGUUCUUUUGGCACUGUUAGACUAUCUACUACGCUAGCCCAUACAUCUCCAUGGAUUCUUGAUACUGGAGCAUCUUUUCAUAUGACUCAUGAUUCAUCCACUUCGUCCUCCAUUCUAUCUCUCAAUUUUCCUAUUCAUGUUCUUGAUCCUGAUGGUGCCAUCCUUCUGGUUAAUGGCCGAGGCGUUCUUACUUUGUCUUUUCAUGUUCCUGAUGUUACUCAUGUUCCCGGACAUACCAUGCAGCUCAUUUCUAGUUGUCAGAUUGUUGACUCUGCUUGUAGGGUCAUUCUCGAAUUUGACUCAUGUUCUGUUUAG